ACCCCAUAGCAAACCCCAUAGCAAACCCCAUAGCAAACCCCAUAGCAAACCCCAUAGCAAACCCCAUAGCACCUACUGCAGACCCCAUAACCCCAUGAGGCCAAUUGCAAACCCCAUAGAAAACCCCAUAGACCCUCAAACCCCAUAGCAAACCCCAUAAACCCCAUAACCCCAUAGCAAACCCCAUAGCACCUACUGCAGACCCCAUAACCCCAUGAGGCCAAUUGCAAACCCCACAGAAAAACCCCAUAGACCCUACAACCCUACAGCAAAACCCACAGGAAACCCCACAGACCCCACAACCCCAUAGGAAACCCCACCGACCCCAUGGCAAACCCCCUAGGAUCCAUUGCAGACCCAUAGCAAACCUCACAGACCCCAUAACCCCAUAGCAAACCCCACAGGAAACACCAGAACCCCAUAGGAUCUAUGGCAGACCCCAUAGCAAACCCCACAAAUUCCGAAACCCCAUAAGUCUGCCCCAUAAGUCCCCCGCUCCUAUCCCCUUUUCUCCAGCCCCUGGAGGACCCCGCGCCUAGAGCGGCCCUUUCUACGCUCCCCGCGCACCUCCCGACUUCCGCUCAGUGACCGCAGAAGGGCGGGGUUAAGGCAGGAAGUGGGCGUGGUUAGGGCAGGAAGUAGGCGUGGAUAGGGCAGGAAGUGGGCGUGGCCACGGGGCGGAAGUGGGCUUUGACGCCGCCAUGCGGGACCGGACGCGGGAACUCCUCCAGGACUACGUCCCCAGCGAUGAGGAGGGGGAGGAGACGGUGGCGUUGGUGGGGCUGAAGCCGCCCCGCGAGGAUGAGACGCUGCUGCAGGCGCGGGCGGUGCGGGCGGCGCUGCGGGCGCUGGAGCAGAAGCUGGCGGAGCUGGAGCAGCUGCAGGAGGCGCUGCUGGGAAACGCGCUGCCCGACCCCGGUGGGGGCACGGGGUCAUGGGGUCACGGGGUCAUUGGGGUUAUGGGGUCAUGGGGUCAUGGGGNCCCCACUGUGCCCCACAGAGCCCCACAGAGCCCCACUGUGCCCCAUAGAGCCCCGCAGAACCCCAUAGAGCCCCACUGCGCCCCAUAGAGCCCCACAGAAUCCCAUAGAGCCCCACUGUGCCCCACAGAACCCCACUGCACCCCAUAGAGCCCCACAGAACCCCAUAGAGCCCCACUGCGCCCCACAGAACCCCACUGUGCCCCAUAGAGCCCCACAGAACCCCACUGCGCACCAUAGAGCCCCACUGUGCCCCACAGAACCCCACUGUGCCCCACUGUGCCCCACUGAGCCCCACAGCGCCCCACAGAACCCCACUGUGCCCCAUAGAGCCCCACAGAACCCCACUGCGCCCCAUAGAGCCCCACAGAACCCCAUAGAACCCCACUUCGCCCCAUAGAGCCCCACAGAAUCCCAUAGAACCCCACUAUGCCCCACAGAACCCCACUGCACCCCAUAGAGCCCCACUGCGCCCCACAGAACCCCACUGUGCCCCACAGAACCCCACUGCGCACCAUAGAGCCCCACUGUGCCCCAUAGAGCCCCAUAGAGCCCCACUGUGCCCCACAGAACCCCACUGUGCCCCACUGCUCCCCACAGAGCCCCACUGUGCCCCAUAGAGCCCCACUGCGCCCCAUAGAAACCCACUUUGCCCUACAGAACCCCACUGUGCCCCACAGAACCCCACUGUGCCCCACUGUGCCCCAUGGAACCACAUAGAACCCCACUGCGCCCCACAGAGCCACUACUGCGCCCCACUGCCCCAUAACCAGCCCCACGGCACCUCACUGCCCCACAGCCAGCCCCAUGGCCUUGUAACAAACCCCACUGCCCCAUAGUCAGCCCCACAGCACCUCACUGCCCCACAGCCUGCCCCAUAGCAAACCCCACUGCCCCACAUCACCUCACUGCCCCACAACCAGCCCCACAGCACCCCACUGCCCCACAACCAGCCCCACAGCACCCCACUGCCCCACAACCAGCCCCACAGCACCCCACUGCCCCACAACCAGCCCCAUAGCAAACCCCACUGCCCCACAACCAGCCCCACAGCAAACCCCACUGCCCCACAGCCAGCCCCACUGCCUUG
ensembl:lncRNA syntaxin-4-like